UACUUGGUUGAUCCUGCCAAGGAAGCACACUUAGGUCAUAGAUUAAGCCAUGCAAGUGUUAGUUCAGGUAACGAAACUGCGAAUAGCUCAUUAAUACGCUCAGAAUCUAUUUGGCGGCGACCAACAGGUCUUAAAUGGAUAGCAGCAGCAACUCUGGUGCUAAUACAUGCGAUUGUUUCUCCAGAUGUGAAUUAUGGAGGAAAAGUUGACCUCAUCAGAGGCACGCCAUUCGACUGAGUGACCUAUCAGCUUGUACUUAGGGUCUUUACCUAGGUAGGCUAUCACGGGUAACGGGCGGUUACCGUCGGACUGCCGGAGAAGGCGCCUGAGAGAUAGCGACUAUAUCCACGGGUAGCAGCAGGCGCGAAACUUUCCCACUCGAGACUUUCGGAGGAGGUAAUGACCAGUUCCAUUGGUGCCUUUUGGUACUGUGGAUAGGGGUACGGUUUUCCACCGUACCGAAACCUAGCAGAGGGCCAGUCUGGUGCCAGCAGCUGCGGUAAUUCCAGCUCUGCGAGUUUGCUCCCAUAUUGUUGCAGUUAAAACGCCCGUAGUCUGAAUUGGCCAGCAAUGGUCGUACGUAUUUUUACGUUCACUGUGAACAAAUCAGGACGCUUAGAGUAUGGCCACAU
rnacentral:ncRNA from 1 species